rnacentral:rRNA from 1 species
UGGGGAAUUUUGGACAAUGGGCGCAAGCCUGAUCCAGCCAUGCCGCGUGUCUGAAGAAGGCCUUCGGGUUGUAAAGGACUUUUGUCAGGGAAGAAAAGGCUGUUGCUAAUAUCGACAGCUGAUGACGGUACCUGAAGAAUAAGCACCGGCUAACUACGUGCCAGCAGCCGCGGUAAUACGUAGGGUGCGAGCGUUAAUCGGAAUUACUGGGCGUAAAGCGAGCGCAGACGGUUACUUAAGCAGGAUGUGAAAUCCCCGGGCUCAACCUGGGAACUGCGUUCUGAACUGGGUGACUAGAGUGUGUCAGAGGGAGGUAGAAUUCCACGUGUAGCAGUGAAAUGCGUAGAGAUGUGGAGGAAUACCGAUGGCGAAGGCAGCCUCCUGGGAUAACACUGACGUUCAUGCUCGAAAGCGUGGGUAGCAAACAGG